GUGUGGGUCACAGACACCUGCAGCCAGCAGCUAUAGAUUAUCGGGCGUUUCCUCCAAACAUUAAGCUGCAGCAUGUCAACAAAGGAGUGGCUUAUGUCAGUGACCUUCAUCACAGCGGAACAGUGAUGACUGAAUGUUUCAGCACUUCCUGUAUGACAUCAUCCAGACCAGGACCUAUUUCCAUACGUCGUUGAUAAGUGCCAGGGUUUGACAGAGCCUUUGAGGCCGUUUCUCAAUACUCAAUCAGCUCUUAUCACACAUCAGCAUCAGCUGCAUCACAGGCGUGUUCUGACAGAAGCUGCUGCACAACAGUGAAG